rnacentral:rRNA from 1 species
UUAGCCCUAAACACAGAUAAUUACAUAAACAAAAUUAUUCGCCAGAGUACUACUAGCAACAGCUUAAAACUCAAAGGACUUGGCGGUGCUUUAUAUCCUUCUAGAGGAGCCUGUUCUAUAAUCGAUAAACCCCGAUAAACCUCACCAAUUCUUGCUAAUACAGUCUAUAUACCGCCAUCUUCAGCAAACCCUAAAAAGGAAAAAAAGUAAGCGUAAUUAUGAUACAUAAAAACGUUAGGUCAAGGUGUAACCUAUGAAAUGGGAAGAAAUGGGCUACAUUCUCUACACCAAGANAAUCAAGCACGAAAGUUAUUAUAAAACCAAUAACCAAAGGAGG